rnacentral:rRNA from 1 species
GCUGGCGGCAGCCUAAUCAUGCAAGUCGAACGCUUUGAUUCCACCGGGUGCUUGCACCCACCGAAGUCAAAGAGUGGCGGACGGGUGAGUAACACGUGGGUAACCUGCCCAUAAGAGGGGGAUAACAUUCGGAAACGGAUGCUAAUACCGCAUACUUCUAAUCGCCUCCUGGCGAAUGGAAAAAAGGUGGCUUCGGCUACCGCUUAUGGAUGGACCCGCGGCGUAUUAGCUAGUUGGUGAGGUAAUGGCUCACCAAGGCGAUGAUACGUAGCCGACCUGAGAGGGUGAUCGGCCACACUGGGACUGAGACACGGCCCAGACUCCUACGGGAGGCAGCAGUAGGGAAUCUUCCGCAAUGGACGAAAGUCUGACGGAGCAAUGCCGCGUGAGUGAAGAAGGUUUUCGGAUCGUAAAACUCUGUUGUUAGAGAAGAACAAGGAUGAGAGUAACUGCUCAUCCCCUGACGGUAUCUAACCAGAAAGCCACGGCUAACUACGUGCCAGCAGCCGCGGUAAU